UAAGACAUACACCAAAUAUGAAGACACAAGCACUGAUUGCUUAUGCGUUAGACAAAUGGGGGUAUAAGUUAAGUUUGGAUCAAGCCUACAAAGCUAAGUGUAGGGCACUGCAAAAAAUUCAAGGUGCAUCCAAGGAAUACAAACACUUGAGACAAUAUAAUGAGGAGGUGUUGAGAAGAAAUAAAAACAACACAAUGACAAUCAAGACAAAUGCAUGUCAAAAGGGUCCUAUUUUUGAAAUAAUUUAUGUGUCUUGAGGCUUGUAAAGAGGCAUUUGUAACAACAUGUAGACCAUUAAUUGGUCUGGAUGGUUGUUUUCUGGAAGGGGAUUUUGGUGGUCAUCUUCUAACUAAGGUAAGGAAAAAUGCCAAUAAUCAAAUGCUACAUAUCGCAUAUGUUGUUGUGGAAGCUAAAACGACAAAUUCAUGGGCUUGGUUUGUUGAUUUAUUAUUGAAAGACAUGGAGUCCAAUCCAAGAAUUGGAUUUCAUCUCUGAUAAGCAAAAGGGGUUGGUAAAUGUCAUUAAGGAGUUGGGUCAACAUGUGGAGCAUCAUGUUUGUGUGAGGCAUCUCUACAACAACUUUAGGAAAAGACACCAUGGUGCUCAACUCAAGGAAAUGAUGUGGCAAGCUAUAAGAGCCACGACUAUUCCAGAAUUUAAAAGAAUAAUUCAAAAGAUGAAGGAGACUAAUGGGAGUGAUUGGAAGGAGUUAGAUGAGUUACAAGCUUCAUCAUGGACAAAGUCAACAUAUGGAAGUAGCAUCCAAUGUGAUUUGUAGGUAAACAAUAUGUAUGAAGCUUUCAAUAAAAGCAUCCUAGAGUACAGGGAGAAACCAAUUAUCAGCUUACUAGAGGGUAUUAAGUUUUAUUUGACAAAUAGGAUUGUAAACCAAAGAGAAAGGAUGAUGAGAUAUAGGGGUCCUAUAUGUUCCAAAAUCCAACUCAUACUUGAGAAGAACAAAAAAACUAUUGAGUGAUGGACUUCUCAUUGGUCCGAUGACGACUAAUACUCAUUAUUUGAUGUCUCUAAUUAUUAUCACAAAUAUGUGGUCAAUAUCAAACAAAGAAGUUGCAACCCCAGAAAUUGGGAUUUAACAGGAAUUCCUUGCUGCCAUGGGGUAACGUGUGUAUGGCACAACUUCAAACCUGAUGAUUAUGUGGCUACUUGCUACAGGUUAACAAGUUUUGAAUUUAUGUUCUAUGAUGUGAAACCCAAACAAAUAAUUAACCAGUUUUUGUAUUGUUUUUUUGUACAGGAAAUCAACAUAUAUGGCUACAUAUUUAUAUUUUAUCAAACCAUAUGAUGGUCCAAUGUUGUGGCCAGAAAGUGAAUAUGAACCUAUCAAUCCCCUUGAAAUGAGGAGAGCAAAAAAGGCAAGGAAUAAGACAAAUGAUGAGCCUAAGGAAAAAUAAUAAUUACCAUGACCAGCACCCUAUGUUGUGUCUAGUGGCUAUGGAAAAGUUGGUCACAAUAAACAAACUUGUAAAGGUAAAACUCAAGCUGAUAGGAAGAUUAAUAGAGGUGGCAACAAGGAUUGGAAAAUACAAAGAAAUUCAGACCAAACUACUAAAAAGGGUGAAAACAUCACAUUCAUGAACUUUUAAAUUUAAUCCAAUAUUUGAAUUUUAGUAUUGUGUUCUGAUUAAAUAAUUGUUACA